rnacentral:rRNA from 1 species
GACGUAGGGUCCAAGCGUUGUCCGGAUUUACUGGGCGUAAAGAGCGCGUAGGCGGUCUGUUAAGUGAGAAGUGAAAUCUCCAGGGCUCAACCCGGAAACUGCUUUUCAUACUGGCAGACUUGAGGGAUGCAGAGGUGAAUGGAAUUCCGUGGUGUAGCGGUGAAACGUGUUGAUAUCAGGAGGAACACCCAUGGCGAAGGCAGUUCACUGGGCAUCAUCUGACGCUGAGGCGCGAAAGCGUGGGUAGCAAACAGG